AAUGGGAAAAAUAUCCCUGGGUGAGGAUUAACCAAAAAAAAAGUAGGUUGUCAUUAUGUGUCCUGGGAGUUACCAUUUUAAUACAAGAUACAAAAAAAGAUGAUUGGAAGAACUUAAAAUAUAUAAGUAAAAUAAUAAAGACCAUCUACUAAAAAACUUAGCUAAUGUCAUACUUAAUGGUGACAAUGAAUGUUUUUCCCCAAAAAUCAGUAACAAGGUAAGGAUAUCCUCUCACUUCUAUUCACAACUGUAGUGGAUUCCUACCUACAAAAAAAAUCCCAAAACACAUGCUAAUUGGGAAGGAAAAAUAAAACUGACUCUAUUCACAGAUAUUAUCUCUGCAGAAAAUCCCAAAAAAUCAACAAAAAAGCUCCUAGAACUAAUAAGCAUAUCUUGGAAAAGUGGCAGGAACCAAGGUUAGUAUACAAAAGAAAAUCACAUUCUUGUAUACCAGCAGUGAACAAGGGGUAAAAGUUUAAAAGAAAACAAUGACUUAAAUUUUAGAAGCUGACAGUACCAAGUGCUGAUGGGAAUGUAAAAAUAGUAAAGCCCCUUUAUUUAAAAAAAAAACUCCAAACUGUUUCUCAACCAGCUUUUUUGUAGGUAUGGACUAGUAACAAGCUGAUGCUAAAAUCUGUAUGAAAAAGCAAAGGACCUAAAGUAGCCAAAACAAUUCUGAAAAGAACAAAGUUGGAGGAUUCAUAUUACAUGAUUUCAAGGCUUAUUAUAAAACUAAUCAAGAUAGUAUGGUAUUGGCAAAAGGAUAGAGUUCUAUAGAACAGAGUCCAGAAAUAUUCCCACACAAAUAGUCAACUGAGUGCACAAAGGUGUAAAGGCAACUCAUUGGAGAAAGGACCAUCUUCAACAAAUGGUGCUAAAAAACGAUGUCCAUACACAACAAAAUGAACGUUGACAUAGCCUCACACCUAGAUCUGUAGUCUGCCUUAGUGAACUGCUCUGUUGUCAGUGUUAAUUUCUUAGUUCUGGUGAAUAAAUGCCCAUGGUUCUAUAAGGUCCCAUUAGAGCCAUCUGGGAACUACGUACUGUCUUUGCAACUCUUCUGCAAAACAAAAAUUAUUUGAAUAAAGUUAUAGAAGAAAAA